rnacentral:tRNA from 1 species
GCCUGGAUGGCUCAGUUGGUUAAACACCUGACUUCAGCUCAGGUCAUGAUCUCAUGGUUUGUGGGUUCAAGCCCCACAUCGGGCU